UACAAUAUUUUGACUCUUCGUCUUAUUUAAUUUUUUUGCGAUUAAUAUUUUCAUUCUUACUAGAUGAUAAAACAUAAAUAAUAUUUUAUAUAUGACUAGUUUUUUUAAGUUUUGUACAAAUUUUUCAAAUAAGACGAAUGGUCAAACGUUGGACACGAAAAAACA
rnacentral:pre_miRNA from 1 species